GGUCAGUACUGAGGGAGUGCUGUGCUAUUGGAGGGUCAGUUUUGAAGGAGAGAUGCACUGUUGGAGAGGCAGUACAGAAGGAGCAGUAAAGCAUUGGAAGCUUGGAGGGGAGGGGCAGCAGGAGUGAACAUAGCUGCACCUGGAAGAUGGUAAAAUCUUCUACUGAGGGACCUAUUGGACAACUGACCCCUGAAAAGGAGGUCAUGGAAAAACCAGCCGAGGUUGUUGAACUGUGAUGCUCAAAACAUCUGAGAAAAGCUCCUGAGAGACUUGAUUUGUAAAUAGUUAUUACUGUAAAUAGUUCACAUGUUAUUAAGUUUGUCAACUGUAUUUUUUAAGUAAAGGGGGAGGGAUGUGGUAAAGUGGAGGGCCGCGUACCUUGAAGAGAAUGCAAGUGGACUAACCAUGUGACAGUACUGACCAAUCACUGUGUAGCAUGGGCUACUGGAUAACUAAGUCCAGAGCUGGAGGUGGUUGCAGGAGCAUGCAAGGAUUUAGUGCUCUGCCUUCUAUUGCAAUAAACAGUCACAAUUUGUUCUUA